CCUGGGGUUGGUACUCCAAAGAGUAGGAGUGUCUCGAGGUUUGGAAGAGAUGGAAGCAUAAGUUCAAGGUCACCAUCUGUAAGAGAGGAUUCUAAUCCUCCUUGGUAAAAAUGUAUAUUUCAUGGAUAUGGAGUUUCACAUUGGCAAGUAGUGGUUUUGUUAUAGCAUAAUUAACAAUCAAGUAAGCUUUUUGUUUCAAGGGUUAAUGUAUAAUUUAGUUGUGAUCCUUUUCCUCUGUUUACAUGGUUGCUAAUGUUUCAAAAAAACCACUACUUGCCAAUGUGAAACUCC
rnacentral:misc_RNA from 1 species